rnacentral:rRNA from 1 species
GACGAACGCUGGCGGCGUGCUUAACACAUGCAAGUCGAACGGAAAGGCCCUGCUUUUGUGGGGUGCUCGAGUGGCGAACGGGUGAGUAACACGUGAGUAACCUGCCCUUGACUUUGGGAUAACUUCAGGAAACUGGGGCUAAUACCGGAUAGGAGCUCCUGCUGCAUGGUGGGGGUUGGAAAGUUUCGGCGGUUGGGGAUGGACUCGCGGCUUAUCAGCUUGUUGGUGGGGUAGUGGCUUACCAAGGCUUUGACGGGUAGCCGGCCUGAGAGGGUGACCGGCCACAUUGGGACUGAGAUACGGCCCAGACUCCUACGGGAGGCAGCAGGGGGGAAUAUUGAAAAAUGGGCGGAAGCCUGAUGCAGAAACGCCGCGUGCGGGAUGACGGCCUUCGGGUUGUAAACCGCUUUCGCCUGUGACGAAGCGUGAGUGACGGUAAUGGGUAAAGAAGCACCGGCUAACUACGUG